UCCCCGUUUUCCGGGGCAGUCUCUGUAGAGUUCCCGGCUUUACCCGCUGGCAACUACAGACAAGGGUUGCGCUCGUUGCGGGACUUAACCCAACAUCUCACGACACGAGCUGACGACAGCCACGCAGCACCUGUGUUACGGCUCCCUUUCGGGCACACCCCCAUCUCUGAGGGCUUCCGUACAUGUCAAGGGUAGGUAAGGCUAUUCGCGUUGUAUCGAAUUAAACCACAUGCUCCACCGCUUGUGCAGGCCCCCGUCAAUUCCUUUGAGUUUCGGUCUUGCGACCGUACUCCCCAGGCGGAGUGUUUCACGCGUUAGCUGGGCCCCUGAUCCACGUAGACCAAGGGCGAACACUCAUCGUUUACGGCAUGGACUAC
rnacentral:misc_RNA from 1 species